rnacentral:lncRNA from 1 species
GUCAUGGACAUCAUCAAGUUGAUGCCAUCCAAAGUCAUAUGAAGGUGCACUGCCUUCUGGAAUAUUCCAUGAGAGAAAUGGUAUAUAAAAAAGUAAAAUGGAAGUGUGAAGUGAGGAUGAAUCGAAACCACUCCACACCCUGGAUAUGGGCUCCACCAAAAGUGACAACCAAACAGACUUCACACUUCAGGAAGCUCAACACAAACAGCAGCGUGGAGGAAAAAACCUAGAGGUGACAGUACAGAACCACUCGGAGGUGACAGCGAUGUGACAGAGAGUCAGAGGGAAAGGCAGGAGAACCCACCAUCUGAGACUUCUCCAGGUGACAGUGAGGAGGGAAAGCUCACCGCUCAUCACUUUCAAAGGACAGAUGCUAAUCUUCCUGUAUCCCAGGAUAUCGGUUCACAGUGAACACAACACACCCAGGGAAGGAAUACGAAAGUGCCACGUCACAAAGAAGAGCAAUAUCAUCUUUACAAAGACCCCACGUUUGAAGACAGUAAAGCUGUCCACGCACUGGUCACGCCACUAGUUGUGUCUGUCCUGCCCUCCCCACACAAACCUCACCACUGCCC